CAGUAGCCGCGGGAAUACGUAGGUCCCGAGCGUUGUCCGGAUUUAUUGGGCGUAAAGGGAGCGCAGGCGGUUUAGUAAGUCUGAAGUUAAAGGCAUUGGCUCAACCAAUGUAUGCUUUGGAAACUGUUAGACUUGAGUGCAGAAGGGGAGAGUGGAAUUCCAUGUGUAGCGGUGAAAUGCGUAGAUAUUGGGAAGAACACCGGUGGCGAAGGCGGCGACCUGGUCCUUUACUGACGCUGAGGCGCGAAGGCGUGGGGAGCAAACAGGAUUAGAUACCCCAGUAGUCCCUGUCUCUUAUACA
rnacentral:rRNA from 1 species